AAGAGGUUUUUGAAGCAUUCCUUCCCUUUUCACAUCAGCUGCUCCUGAGUAUGUCUCAGUGUUGACUCCUCACCAUAUGCAGCGAACCAGAUCCUAAGUACCACAGCAGUCCUCCCAAAAUGUACUGAAAAUAACGUUAUGGCAGUAUCACUAUGCUACAUAAAUAAUGUAAUGUUUUUCGUCUUAACGGGACACAAGGAAUCUUAAUUUUUAACAAGUUUUUAAAUAUUAAGAAACCCUAACGUGGUGAAUGCCAAAUCCUACCAAAGAAUCAAAGCAGGGACUAUGGCAGGGGGCAUUUGCAACUUCUGGUAUCAUUUCCUUCACUUGUAACGAAGAAAUAACUACAAAGAACAAGCAAGGAGAGUAGGAAUGAAGGCCUGCUUAUGAGGUAGGACGAUUUUACUAUUUGCUAUGCCACUGGGACCACAGUGGUUCAUUCCCUCAACCAAAGAGCAGUGGUGCUGCCUGCGAUGAGUCACUCUGCAUCCCAGGCUGGCUCAAAUAACCUUUGUGUUCCUUAAGGCUAAAGAAUUUC